rnacentral:rRNA from 1 species
GCUUACGACCAUAUCACGCAGAAAGCACCGAAUCUCGUCUGAUCACUGAAGUGAAGCAAUGUCGAGUCCAGUUAGGACUUAGAUGGGUGAUCGAUCGCUUGGGAAAACUAGGUGCUGUAACCC